CCUACGGGAGGCAGCAGUGGGGAAUAUUGCACAAUGGGGGAAACCCUGAUGCAGCGACGCCGCGUGAGUGAAGAAGUAUCUCGGUACGUAAAGCUCUAUCAGCAGGGAAGAAAAUGACGGUACCUGACUAAGAAGCCCCGGCUAACUACGUGCCAGCAGCCGCGGGAAUACGUAGGGGGCAAGCGUUAUCCGGAUUUACUGGGUGUAAAGGGAGCGUAGACGGCAGCGCAAGUCUGGAGUGAAAUGCCGGGGCUCAACCCCGGAACUGCUUUGGAAACUGUGCAGCUCGAGUGCAGGAGAGGUAAGCGGAAUUCCUAGUGUAGCGGUGAAAUGCGUAGAUAUUAGGAGGAACACCAGUGGCGAAGGCGGCUUACUGGACUGUAACUGACGUUGAGGCUCGAAAGCGUGGGGAGCAAACAGGAUUAGAUACCCGAGUAGUC
rnacentral:rRNA from 1 species